UGGGGAAUAUUGCACAAUGGGCGGAAGCCUGAUGCAGCAACGCCGCGUGCGGGAUGACGGCCUUCGGGUUGUAAACCGCUUUCGCCUGUGACGAAGCGUGAGUGACGGUAAUGGGUAAAGAAGCACCGGCUAACUACGUGCCAGCAGCCGCGGUGAUACGUAGGGUGCGAGCGUUGUCCGGAUUUAUUGGGCGUAAAGGGCUCGUAGGUGGUUGAUCGCGUCGGAAGUGUAAUCUUGGGGCGUAACGCGGAGCGUGCUUUCGAUACGGGUUGACUUGAGGAAGGUAGGGGAGAAUGGAAUUCCUGGUGGAGCGGUGGAAUGCGCAGAUAUCAGGAGGAACACCAGUGGCGAAGGCGGUUCUCUGGGCCUUUCCUGACGCUGAGGAGCGAAAGCGUGGGGAGCGAACA
rnacentral:rRNA from 1 species